GGGAGAGCUGUGUCUGCAAUGUGGGCAGGAGCCACCUGUGUCAUCGUGCCUCAGUUUCCCCAGACACAGGCUCUCACUCUGAGGUCCAAGAUGAAGGACACCUUGUAGAUGACGCUGCCCCCAUAGCAUUCAGGAGCCAUCCCCCAGAUACCAAAACCUGCAGGGAAGCACUGAAGGCCAAAACAAGGUAACAAAGCUGCUAGGAGCAAUUGGAGAGGAGAUUGCUGAGAUUUCUGCCAAAGAAUUGAAAAGCUCCAGUUCCUGCAGUGGGACCCCCCCAGCCCAGGGAGUGACUUGGUUCACCUUCAGCAUCUGCUUGCUCUGCGGUGUGAGGCAGGAAGGGUCACUUGUCCAUGGAAAAUGACGUGGAAGAAAAGCAAGGUUUUAAAGAGGGCUUUGUGUAUGAGCUGGGCUUGCUUCUGGUGCCUAAUUUGGUCCAUCCUGAACACCCCUUGGCUUCAUGGUGAGUUGUCUCCCUCAUCCAGAGGUGGAUGGGAACUGCAUUGCAAUGAAGCAGCUCUGGAUGUGGAGCUCCUCCAGUCUUUGCUGGCAGCAGGAGCAUCUUCUGCUUGGAAGGGAGAGUUUUCCACAGAAAUGUGUCCAUCUCCUUGUGCUCCCUCUUCAGCAGUGACCAGUAAUGAUGCUUAAGAUGAAGGAAGAAGAGCUCAGUUGCAGCAGGCUGAGUCUAAAGUGCAUUUCCUACAACCCUGGUGUGUCCAGCAGCCUGUGCCAUGAGAUGACAAAGUGACAAAAUUACAAACUUUCCUCUCCUCUGCCUGC